rnacentral:rRNA from 1 species
UACGGGGGGGGCAAGCGUUGUUCGGAAUUACUGGGCGUAAAGGGCUUGUAGGUGGCCAACUAAGUCAGACGUGAAAUCCCUCAGCUUAACUGGGGAACUGCGUCUGAUACUGGAUGGCUUGAGUUUGGGAGAGGGAUGCGGAAUUCCAGGUGUAGCGGUGAAAUGCGUAGAUAUGCGGAGGAACACCGAUGGCGAAGGCAAUCCCCUGGGCCUGUACUGACGCUCAUGCACGAAAGCGUGGGGAGCAAACAGG